rnacentral:siRNA from 1 species
CGGGAGCUUUCCCCGGGCGUCGAA